GCUUACGACCACACCGGCCUGAGUACGCCUGAUCUCGUCUGAUCUCGGAAGCUAAGCAGGGUCGGGCCUGGUAGUACUUGUACUUGGAUGGAGACCGCCUGGGAAUACCAGGUGCUGUAAGCU
rnacentral:rRNA from 1 species